GAUAUUCUAGUUUCAACAAACACUUUUCAAGCUUAAAACCGAUGAUAAUUUUUCUGUAGCUUCCUAACUAGUGGCGCUUUUUUAGAUCAGCUAAAUGAGCCGAUUAAUCUGACCACCGGUCAUUUGGUUUCUUUAAGUUCUACCGUUGAGUUUUGUCUUUGUCUUCAAGUCAGAAAUGCUCUUUUUUGUCUCUUUUUAAUUACACUACAGAAAAUGGCCGUCGUUAAUUUUUACCAGGCUCAAUAUAUUAUAAUUCAAUACCGCCGAGCAAAAACUACUAUAAACUGGGCAUUACUAAGAAGCGGUAUCCAAGCCGACGAGCCGACAGAUUACAAAUGGACCUUCGAGAAAGUGUUUCAAGCUUACAAUUCGUUUUGUCUUGGCUUCGAAAAGGGUUGUGAUGCUUUGCAAAUUCCUAUCAAUCAGGAACUUAUUGAUCGAAGAAACGUUGAUGCGAUUCAGUUCCGAACUAAAUAUGGAUGCCCAGCCCCUGAUGACGAUUGGACAAAAGCUCAGCUCGAUAAAGAAAUAAAACAAUUCCAGUUACUAGAAAGACAAUCUGCAAGGCGAAAAUCAAUAUUGCAAGAAAAGGAAAAAGAAAAACAGUAAAUUGAACCGAAAUAUUUCCUUGGAACAUUAAUUUUUAUUCUCUUACUGUUUUGUGUAACAUUCAAAUAUCGAACGAUAAAUUCGUAAUAAUAAGACGUAGAAAAAUUGAUGAAAUAAAUAGAGAGUGUUCAACGAACAAAUCGCAGA